rnacentral:rRNA from 1 species
CAUGCAAGUCGAACGAUGAUCCGGUGCUUGCACCGGGGAUUAGUGGCGAACGGGUGAGUAACACGUGAGUAACCUGCCCUUGACUCUGGGAUAAGCCUGGGAAACUGGGUCUAAUACCGGAUAUGACUCCUCAUCGCAUGGUGGGGGGUGGAAAGCUUUUGUGGUUUUGGAUGGACUCGCGGCCUAUCAGCUUGUUGGUGAGGUAAUGGCUCACCAAGGCGACGACGGGUAGCCGGCCUGAGAGGGUGACCGGCCACACUGGGACUGAGACACGGCCCAGACUCCUACGGGAGGCAGCAGUGGGGAAUAUUGCACAAUGGGCGAAAGCCUGAUGCAGCGACGCCGCGUGAGGGAUGACGGCCUUCGGGUUGUAAACCUCUUUCAGUAGGGAAGAAGCGAAAGUGACGGUACCUGCAGAAGAAGCGCCGGCUAACUACGUGCCAGCAGCCGCGGUAAUACGUAGGGCGCAAGCGUUAUCCGGAAUUAUUGGGCGUAAAGAGCUCGUAGGCGGUUUGUCGCGUCUGCCGUGAAAGUCCGGGGCUCAACUCCGGAUCUGCGGUGGGUACGGGCAGACUAGAGUGAUGUAGGGGAGACUGGAAUUCCUGGUGUAGCGGUGAAAUGCGCAGAUAUCAGGAGGAACACCGAUGGCGAAGGCAGGUCUCUGGGCAUUAACUGACGCUGAGGAGCGAAAGCAUGGGGAGCGAACAGGAUUAGAUACCCUGGUAGUCCAUGCCGUAAACGUUGGGCACUAGGUGUGGGGGACAUUCCACGUUUUCCGCGCCGUAGCUAACGCAUUAAGU